rnacentral:rRNA from 1 species
GACGAACGCUGGCGGCGUGCCUAAUACAUGCAAGUAGAACGCUGAAGGAGGAGCUUGCUUCUCUGGAUGAGUUGCGAACGGGUGAGUAACGCGUAGGUAACCUGCCUGGUAGCGGGGGAUAACUAUUGGAAACGAUAGCUAAUACCGCAUAAUAGCAGUUGUUGCAUGACAACUGUUUGAAAGGUGCAAUUGCACCACUACCAGAUGGACCUGCGUUGUAUUAGCUAGUUGGUGGGGUAACGGCUCACCAAGGCGACGAUACAUAGCCGACCUGAGAGGGUGAUCGGCCACACUGGGACUGAGACACGGCCCAGACUCCUACGGGAGGCAGCAGUAGGGAAUCUUCGGCAAUGGACGGAAGUCUGACCGAGCAACGCCGCGUGAGUGAAGAAGGUUUUCGGAUCGUAAAGCUCUGUUGUAAGAGAAGAACGAGUGUGAGAGUGGAAAGUUCACACUGUGACGGUAUCUGAACAGAAAGGGACGGCUAACUACGUG